GGACCCGCACAAGCGGUGGAACAUGUGGUUUAAUUCGAUGAUACGCGAAGAACCUUACCUGGGUUUGACAUGUUAGUGAAAGUUUUCUGAAAAGAAAUCCCUUUAAAAGCUUGCUUUUAAACACUAUCACAGGUGAUGCAUGGCUGUCGUCAGCUCGUGUCGUGAGAUGUUAGGUUAAGUCCUGCAACGAGCGCAACCCCUAUAUUUAGUUGCCAGCACAUAAUGGUGGGGACUCUAAAUAGACUGCCCGGAAUAACCGGGAGGAAGGUGGGGAUGAUGUCAAGUCAGUAUGUCCCUUAUACCCAGGGCUACACACGUGUUACAAUGGACAGUACAGAAAGUUGCAAUUCCGCGAGGAGGAGCC
rnacentral:rRNA from 1 species